AAAAAGGUAAACUCUGGGUUUCCAUGUCUAACUUUUACUGUCCGUCUUAUAUGAAAUUUUUUUAUAAUUCGUAUUUUUUAUUGUUGUUAGAUGAUAAAACAUGAUUAAUAUUUUAUGCGUGACUUGUCUUUUUUUUCAUAAUUUUUUUAAAUAAGACGGACGAUCAAACGUUGGACACGGAAACCAGGGUUUGUCUUUUU
rfam:Oryza glumipatula chromosome 5, whole genome shotgun sequence.